CGAGUGGCGAACGGGUGAGUAACACGUGGGUGAUCUGCCCUGCACUUUGGGAUAAGCCUGGGAAACUGGGUCUAAUACCGAAUAUGAUCAUCGGCUUCAUGGUCGGUGGUGGAAAGCUUUUGCGGUGUGGGAUGGGCCCGCGGCCUAUCAGCUUGUUGGUGGGGUAAUGGCCUACCAAGGCGACGACGGGUAGCCGGCCUGAGAGGGUGACCGGCCACACUGGGACUGAGAUACGGCCCAGACUCCUACGGGAGGCAGCAGUGGGGAAUAUUGCACAAUGGGCGCAAGCCUGAUGCAGCGACGCCGCGUGAGGGAUGACGGCCUUCGGGUUGUAAACCUCUUUCAGCACAGACGAAGCGCAAGUGACGGUAUGUGCAGAAGAAGGACCGGCCAACUACGUGCCAGCAGCCGCGGUAAUACGUAGGGUCCGAGCGUUGUCCGGAAUUACUGGGCGUAAAGAGCUCGUAGGUGGUUUGUCGCGUUGUUCGUGAAAACUCACAGCUUAACUGUGAGCGUGCGGGCGAUACGGGC
rnacentral:rRNA from 1 species